rfam:Habropoda laboriosa contig15492, whole genome shotgun sequence.
UGGCGUAGUGCGCAAAGCCUCGGCUUGCUAAGCCGAAGGUCCCGGGUUCGAUUCCCGG